AACGAACGCUGGCGGCAGGCUUAACACAUGCAAGUCGAGCGCCCCGCAAGGGGAGCGGCAGACGGGUGAGUAACGCGUGGGAAUCUACCCAUCUCUACGGAAUAACGCAUGGAAACGUGUGCUAAUACCGUAUACGUCCUUCGGGAGAAAGAUUUAUCGGAGAUGGAUGAGCCCGCGUUGGAUUAGCUAGUUGGUGGGGUAAAGGCCUACCAAGGCGACGAUCCAUAGCUGGUCUGAGAGGAUGAUCAGCCACACUGGGACUGAGACACGGCCCAGGCUCCUACGGGAGGCAGCAGUGGGGAAUAUAGGACAAUGGGCGCAAGCCUGAUCCAGCCAUGCCGCGUGAGUGAUGAAGGCCCUAGGGUUGUAAAGCUCUUUCACCGGUGAAGAUAAUGACGAUAACCGGAGAAGAAGCCCCGGCUAACUUCGUGCCAGCCGCCGCCGUAACAC
rnacentral:rRNA from 1 species